rnacentral:rRNA from 1 species
UACGAAGGGGGCUAGCGUUGCUCGGAAUCACUGGGCGUAAAGUGCGUGUAGGCGGGUCUUUAAGUCAGGGGUGAAAUGCCAAGGCUCAACCUUGGAACUGCCUUUGAUACUGGAGAUCUUGAGUCCGGGAGAGGUGAGUGGAACUGCGAGUGUAGAGGUGAAAUUCGUAGAUAUUCGCAAGAACACCAGUGGCGAAGGCGGCUCACUGGCCCGGAACUGACGCUGAGACGCGAAAGCGUGGGGAGCAAACAGG